GUGUAGGGCCAAACCACCCUGAACAUGCUUAAUUUUAUUUGGUCUUCAAUGCUAACCAGAGUUAGACCUAGUUAGUUCUUGGAUGGGAGACCACCAGGGAAUACUGGGUACUCUAGGCU
rnacentral:rRNA from 1 species